rnacentral:rRNA from 1 species
GACGAACGCUGGCGGCGUGCUUAACACAUGCAAGUCGAACGGAAAGGCCCUGCUUUUGUGGGGUUCCCGAGGGGCGAACGGGUGAGUAACACGUGAGUAACCUGCCCUUGACUUUGGGAUAACUUCAGGAAACUGGGGCUACUACCGUAUAGGAGCUCCUGCUGCAUGGUGGGGGUUGGAAAGUUUCGGCGGGUGGGGAUGGACUCGCGGCUUAUCAGCUUGUUGGUGGGGUAGUGGCUUACCAAGGCUUUGACGGGUAGCCGGCCUGAGAGGGUGACCGGCCACAUUGGGACUGAGAUACGGCCCAGACUCCUACGGGAGGCAGCAGUGGGGAAUAUUGCACAAUGGGCGGAAGCCUGAUGCAGCAACGCCGCGUGCGGGAUGACGGCCUUCGGGUUGUAAACCGCUUUCGCCUGUGACGAAGCGUGAGUGACGGUAAUGGGUAAAGAAGCACCGGCUAACUACGUG